rnacentral:rRNA from 1 species
GACGAACGCUGGCGGCGUGCUUAACACAUGCAAGUCGAACGAUGAAGCGGUGCUUGCACCGUGGAUUAGUGGCGAACGGGUGAGUAAUACGUGAGUGACCUACCUUUGACUCUGGGAUAAGCCUGGGAAACUGGGUCUAAUACCGGAUACGACCAAUCUCUGCAUGGGGUGUUGGUGGAAAGCGUUAUGGAGUGGUUUUAGAUGGGCUCACGGCCUAUCAGCUUGUUGGUGAGGUAAUGGCUUACCAGGGCGACGACGGGUAGCCGGCCUGAGAGGGUGACCGGCCACACUGGGACUGAGACACGGCCCAGACUCCUACGGGAGGCAGCAGUGGGGAAUAUUGCACAAUGGGCGCAAGCCUGAUGCAGCGACGCCGCGUGAGGGAUGACGGCCUUCGGGUUGUAAACCUCUGUUAGCAUCGAAGAAGCGAAAGUGACGGUAGGUGCAGAGAAAGCGCCGGCUAACUACGUG